rnacentral:rRNA from 1 species
GUGGGGAAUAUUGGACAAUGGGGGGAACCCUGAUCCAGCCAUGCCGCGUGUGUGAAGAAGGCCUUUUGGUUGUAAAGCACUUUAAGCGAGGAGGAGGCUACCGAGAUUAAUACUCUUGGAUAGUGGACGUUACUCGCAGAAUAAGCACCGGUUAACUCUGUGCCAGCAGCCGCGGUAAUACAGAGGGUGCAAGCGUUAAUCGGAUUUACUGGGCGUAAAGCGCGCGUAGGUGGCCAAUUAAGUCAAAUGUGAAAUCCCCGAGCUUAACUUGGGAAUUGCAUUCGAUACUGGUUGGCUAGAGUAUGGGAGAGGAUGGUAGAAUUCCAGGUGUAGCGGUGAAAUGCGUAGAGAUCUGGAGGAAUACCGAUGGCGAAGGCAGCCAUCUGGCCUAAUACUGACACUGAGGUGCGAAAGCAUGGGGAGCAAACAGGAUUAGAAACCCUUGUAGUCC